UAGCCUUUCAAAUGGCAGCAAAACUCGGGU
rnacentral:piRNA from 1 species